GACGAGUGGCGGACGGGUGAGUAAUGCUUGGGAACUUGCCUUUGCGAGGGGGAUAACAGUUGGAAACGACUGCUAAUACCGCAUAAUGUCUUCGGACCAAACGGGGCUUCGGCUCCGGCGCAAAGAGAGGCCCAAGUGAGAUUAGCUAGUUGGUAAGGUAACGGCUUACCAAGGCGACGAUCUCUAGCUGUUCUGAGAGGAAGAUCAGCCACACUGGGACUGAGACACGGCCCAGACUCCUACGGGAGGCAGCAGUGGGGAAUAUUGCACAAUGGGGGAAACCCUGAUGCAGCCAUGCCGCGUGUGUGAAGAAGGCCUUCGGGUUGUAAAGCACUUUCAGUUGUGAGGAAAAGUUAGUAGUUAAUACCUGCUAGCCGUGACGUUAACAACAGAAGAAGCACCGGCUAACUCCGUGCCAGCAGCCGCGGUAAUACGGAGGGUGCGAGCGUUAAUCGGAAUUACUGGGCGUAAAGCGCACGCAGGCGGUUUGUUAAGCUAGAUGUGAAAGCCCCGGGCUCAACCUGGGAUGGUCAUUUAGAACUGGCAGACUAGAGUCUUGGAGAGGGGAGUGGAAUUCCAGGUGUAGCGGUGAAAUGCGUAGAUAUCUGGAGGAACAUCAGUGGCGAAGGCGACUCCCUGGCCAAAGACUGACGCUCAUGUGCGAAAGUGUGGGUAGCGAACAGGAUUAGAUACCCUGGUAGUCCACACCGUAAACGCUGUCUACUAGCUGUGUGUGNCUUUAAGGCGUGCGUAGCGAAGCUAACGCGCUAAGUAGACCGCCUGGGGGAGUACGGCCGCAAGGUUAAAACUCAAAUGAAUUGACGGGGGG
rnacentral:rRNA from 1 species